AUUGAACGCUGGCGGCAGGCCUAACACAUGCAAGUCGAACGGUAGCACAGAGAGCUUGCUCUCGGGUGACGAGUGGCGGACGGGUGAGUAAUGUCUGGGAAACUGCCCGAUGGAGGGGGAUAACUACUGGAAACGGUAGCUAAUACCGCAUAACGUCGCAAGACCAAAGUGGGGGACCUUCGGGCCUCACACCAUCGGAUGUGCCUAGAUGGGAUUAGCUAGUAGGUGGGGUAAUGGCUCACCUAGGCGACGAUCCCUAGCUGGUCUGAGAGGAUGACCAGCCACACUGGAACUGAGACACGGUCCAGACUCCUACGGGAGGCAGCAGUGGGGAAGAUUGCACAAUGGGCGCAAGCCUGAUGCAGCCAUGCCGCGUGUAUGAAGAAGGCCUUCGGGUUGUAAAGUACUUUCAGCGGGGAGGAAGGCGGUGGAGUUAAUAGCUUCACCGAUUGACGUUACCCGCAGAAGAAGCACCGGCUAACUCCGUGCCAGCAGCCGCAGUAA
rnacentral:rRNA from 1 species